rnacentral:rRNA from 1 species
AAAGGAAUAGACGGGGACCCGCACAAGCGGUGGAGCAUGUGGUUUAAUUCGAAGCAACGCGAAGAACCUUACCAAAUCUUGACAUCCCGAUGACAGGCUGUGUAAAGCAGCUUCUCUUCGGAGCAUCGGUGACAGGUGGUGCAUGGUUGUCGUCAGCUCGUGUCGUGAGAUGUUGGGUUAAGUCCCGCAACGAGCGCAACCCUUGUCUUUAGUAGCCAGCAUUUAGGAUGGGCACUCUAGAGAGACUGCCAGGGAUAACCUGGAGGAAGGUGGGGAUGACGUCAAAUCAUCAUGCCCCUUAUGAUUUGGGCUACACACGUGCUACAAUGGCGUAAACAAAGAGAAGCAAAGGAGUGAUCCGGAGCAAAUCUCAAAAAUAACGUCUCAGUUCGGAUUGUAGUCUGCAACUCGACUACAUGAAGCUGGAAUCGCUAGUAAUCGCGAAUCAGAAUGUCGCGGUGAAUACGUUCCCGGGUCUUGUACACACCGCCCGU